UUUAUGUAUUGCAUAUCUGAUUGAUGUGGUAUCCUUUUCCUCCCUUCCUUUCACUUGUAAACACUCUUUGGAAAGCUUUUGAAUAGUAGUAGCAGUGGCCAAAAAUUGAGCGUCAGGUCACAGCCUCUUCAUUUUCACCUUCAUCACCACCGGCGUCUGGAACCACUCCAACCCUACCUUCCGGCGAAGCAGCACCAUCACCUCAAUCAAAGCCCACCGAGCCAGGUUCAACUCCACCACCAUCACCGGGCUUAGCCACCUCCAUAGUCGCAACUUUCUCUCUUCCUUUCACAACCCUUGUAGUUCAACUCAUUGUUCUUCUAGACUUGCUUCUUCUGCAUCAUUUGUGUUAUAGACCUUUUUAUUAUGCAUGCUGCUUUUACACACUUCAGUGUCGGAUAUAAUGAUAGGGUAAUUUCACUAUUCGUCGUGAUUGUAUUUUUGUAGGGUGAAAUAAAUUUGAUCUACUUCCAUUGAUUGCUAAUUUGUUUGGCUAUGCAUAGACGAAUAAUUGUCGUAUCGUGGACUGUUUCUACAUCAUUCCGGUUAAUUUAUAUAUAAUAUAUUAUUAAUUUAUAUGUAAAGUCCUACUUUUCUGCUUAUGAGUUUUUUUAAAACCAAUCUUGGAAUCUUAAAGUUUGGUGUAACUUAUAAAAUAUAAAUACUCUCACUUCUCAAAAAAGAUAAAAUGUUCUGCCAAAUGUACAACAAUUAAGUAAUGUAAUUUCAAUUUGUUGACUAUGAAUUAUUAAGUGCAACUAUUGAGACCAAGACCAAUAAGGUAGGAGCGGACAAAAUAAAAAAAAAAUUAAUCUCGUGUUUUAGGUAUUAGUGUUCAUACCAUAUUAUUCUUGGGCUUCCUCUAGAAUAGAUUUGUUUAAAUGGCGUAAAAUAAGCUAAGUAGGAAAAAACAUAGUAACAUUAUUUUCUAAGCAUUAUUAGAAGAAAAGUUGUUUUAUAGAGGAUUGGUAUUAGAUACUCUAGUUUAAUUAGAGAUUCUAAUCCACAAAAUGACUUUAAUUGCAUCAUCUGUUACUUGAAUUUGUUAAUGUUUUACAAGUAGAGAGAUGUAUUUUGGACAUUCUAAUGUGUAUUUGUGUAGUUGAGAAUAAAAGAAGCUUAUAAAUUAUUUAUGAAAAAGGAAAAAGAUGAAUUGCCCAAAGCUCAUCACCUAUAGACAAAGAAAAUUUGGACAAAUUUUAGUGCUACAAGAAGUAGGUUACAUCUAGAUAACAUUGUUUUCUUAAUGUCCAAUGGAGAUUUCUUAAGACUUUUUUAAGCAACAUAACACAAAUACCUUGUCUUUUAAAAUCAACGAGAUUAACUCUUAUCAUUUGAUAUCAAAGCUUUGGUUUAAGAUGUUUUUAUGUGUUUGUGUUUAAUUUUUUCUUGUGUAGAUAUCUAAAAUUGUUCAAAUCAUCCUAUACUUCAUACUUAGUGGCCAAAAAAUUAAAAAAUGUUUAAUUUUUAAUUAACAACAAAAAAGUUUAAAUGAUUUUUAAUUAUGGAGGGUAGGUUAUUAUAUUCCUAUUUUAUAUUGUCAAGGAUAAAAUCUCUAUUCUACUUUUUUUUAAAAGAUGAUUCUUCUCACUAAGUAUUUUGAGAUACUAUUAAUAGGUUAUAUUACACAGUCUCUAUUUUAGAGUUUAGAGUUUGGUUUUGUACCUAAAAGAGUCUUAAACCCAAGAAAAUAUAUUUAAAUUGUUGAAAUUGUAUUAGAAGAAGUUUUCAAUGGAGAUACAAGAAGAAACCAUUCAUCUUUUAAACUUCUUUCAGAGGUGAAUAUUUUGAACUCAAACUAACAUUCAUUUUAAUUAACUUGAUUUUUUUUUCAGAUAAUUAAAAACCAAGCCGGUAAGAAUUGAUAAAAUUGGGAGAAUUGUUUAUGUUGCGGUGGGUGGAGAGAGAGAGUAAAAAACAAUAGAGACAAAUUUAUACUAUAUUUUUGAAGCUCGGGACCAUGUCUUUGCAUUGACUUGAUCUGGUAUGUUACCCAACAAGUUGUUACAUUAUUAAAAAAAUCAAAACCCAGCAAACUGUUCCAUUAAUAAUUCGGUUCUAUCUUCUAUAUAUUCAAACGCAGAUACAACCCACUUUCAAGCCAUUCUUAAUUCUCAGAAACACCAACAGAUUCAUCAAUCAAUCAGGGGCGAUCUGAUAAACACAAAACAUGGCUCAGUUACUUAACAUGGUCAUUCUUGUAGCAAUUGCAGUUUCUGCAACGAUUCUAAGAGGCACAGAAGCUGCAGAAUACACAGUAGGUGACAGCACCGGUUGGAUAAGUGCUCCCACCGGUGGCGCUUCUUUCUAUUCCGACUGGGCUUCCACUAUCACAUUCAGAGAAGGCGACGUCCUAGGUGAGUAAAACUAUCAUCAAUUAGAAAUCUCGUACAUCGACUAGAGAUAAUGCCAAUUUAUAAUAUAGAUGAUGAUAUUUUGAUAAUAUUUUCUGACAAUUUUUUUGAUAACAGAACUAUCAUCAUAAUAAGAACUACCUACUCAUUGUUCAUUGUUUUUAAGGUUUUAGGUUGAUCGAAGUCACCAAUUUAUAAUAUAUACACGGUGUAAACUUUAUUUUACCAUUUAAAGAAAAAAGUUUUUUUAACAAUACUUUUUUAAUAAUGUUUUGACAAUAAAUACACGUCAGCUUGUGAUUGACCCGUUUCAAAUAUUUUUUUAAAUAUAAAUUCAAAUAGAUCAAUAAAAUGAUGACAUGUGUGAUGUUAUAAAAAAGUUGUCAAAAUAUCAGGAUUGAUGUUUUAAAUAUAUCCUAACCAGAUUUAUGUGACAUUAUACUGUACUUAAUAUCGAUCCGCUGUUGAAUCAUCCAUUAAUUCUAGUCUCACAUUGGAGAGACAUGGAUUAGAGUAAUCUUUGUUUAAUUAUGAUGUUUGGUUAUUGCAGAGUUCAGAUUCAGCUCAAGCCACACCGUGGCAGAACUUAACGACAAGGCAAGCUUUGAUAGUUGCAGCGUGGAUCAAAAUACGGAAGUGUUGAGCAAUUCACCAGCUAAAAUCACCCUCAAUCGUACUGGGGAGUUCUAUUUUGCAUGCACCGUCCAAGGCCAUUGCAGCAGUGGCCAAAAACUGAGCGUCAACGUCACAGCCUCUUCAUCUUCACCCUCAUCACCACCUGCUUCUGGAACCACUCCAACCCCACCUUCCGGCGAAGCAGCACCACCACCUCAAUCAAACCCCACCGAGCCAGGUUCAACUCCACCACCAUCACCGGGCUCAGCCACCUCCAUAGUCGCAACUUUCUCUCUUCUUCUCACAACCCUUGUAGUCAACUCAUUGUUCUUCUAAGCUUUUCUUCUGCAUUAUUUGUGUUAUAGUUCAUUUCAUUAUGCCGGAUGCUUUCGAUUUCCGUACGUGUUUGAUUUCACACACUUCAGUGUCGGAUAUACGUAUAGGCUGAUUUCAUUAUUCGUCGUCAUUGUAUUUUUGUAGGGUGAAAUAAAUUUGAUCUAGUUCCAUUGGUGUUCUUAAUUUGUUUGCCUAUCGUGGACUAUUUCUACAUCAUUCCAGUU
rnacentral:lncRNA from 1 species